CACUUGUCCCAAGUCUGAAACAACAGAGGCUCACUGCACAUCUACGUACUGCAGCAGUGACGCUCACUGUUUGGCUGAUAAUAAAUGCUGUAUAACUGAUGAUGGCCAGAUGUGUGUGACCGUGUCCUAAGUAACAAAAUGAGUACCGUAUGAGACCCCAGAGGGAUGAGACCGUACAGCAGUGACAAAUCACACACCUGUAUAAAUCUCUUCCGUCACAUAUGCUCAGUAACUAUGGGAUAGUUUGACUCCUUGCUAUGUCUUUUGUAUCAUUGUAUUGUAUUAUGUGUUUCUGCUGUAACCAAUAAAAGAUCCAGUGAUUAUUGUGA